rnacentral:lncRNA from 1 species
AUUGUUCGCAAACCAGCUCACUUGUUCCUUGACGAGAUUGGUGUGGCUUACGAUGAGCAAGACACCUACGUUGUGGUUAAGCACGCGGCUCUGUUCACAUCAACCAUCAUGAGCAAGCUUUUGGCUCGUCCUAAUGUGAAGCUCUUCAACGCUGUGGCUGCUGAGGAUUUGAUUGUGAAAGGAAACAGAGUUGGUGGUGUGGUGACUAACUGGGCUCUUGUGGCUCAGAACCACCACACACAAUCGUGUAUGGACCCUAAUGUUAUGGAAGCGAAGAUUGUGGUUAGCUCUUGUGGUCAUGAUGGUCCUUUUGGAGCUACUGGUGUUAAGAGGUUGAAGAGUAUUGGGAU